UACGGAGGGUGCAAGCGUUAUCCGGAUUUACUGGGUUUAAAGGGUGCGUAGGCGGUCUUUUAAGUCGGUGGUGAAAGCUCGCAGCUUAACUGUGAAACUGCCAUCGAUACUGAAAGACUUGAAUACCUUGGAUGUGGGCGGAAUACAUCAUGUAGCGGUGAAAUGCUUAGAUAUGAUGUAGAACACCGAUUGCGAAGGCAGCUCACAACAAGGCAAUUGACGCUGAGGCACGAAAGCGUGGGUAGCAAACAGGAUUAGAUACCCUGGUAGUCCACGCCCUAAACGAUGAAUACUCGAUGUAUGGCCUAUUAUGGGUUGUGCGUCCAAGCGAAAGCGUUAAGUAUUCCACCUGGGGAGUACGGCCGCAAGGUUAAA
rnacentral:rRNA from 1 species